GGCUUAUCUUUAAGUUAAAUGGUUACGAACUGCAAAACUUCAGAGGAAUGUAAACAGCGAUGGAUAUGUUGAGUCUAUAUCACCAAACAUGGAAGCGAGAUUAUAGCGGGAGAGAUUGUGCAAUCAUGGGAUGUUUUUGUUGGAUGAGGAUGAAGACAAGCAGAGCCGGAAGGAUGCUAGCAAACAUCAUCCAGAUGGGAAACUGACCAUCAGAGCCCAGAGGAUUGACGAUCCAACCUCGCUUAUCAGGACUAGUCACUGAAAAACCUCGGGGGACACUCAGUUUCUGUAUGGUUUGGCAAUAAAAUAAAAAAGACAUACGUGAAUAAAAUGAGAACGAAGUAAUAAUGAAGUAAAUCAAAAAUAUAUACACAAAAUUAAUCAACUAUAAAGGUGAAGCUUUAAAAAUAUGGACAAUAACAAAAAAAUAAUAAAAGAAAAUAAUUUAAAAAGUCAAUCGAAAAUAAAAACGAAGAAAAUUUGCGUGUAAAAUUGAAAAGAAUAAAAUAAUACUAAUGAAUCUUUUAAACAAACUAGCCAAUUUUAGAUAUCCAUAGCACAAAUAGAGCAGGUUCAUGCAUUAAAUUUGAAUAUUUAGGGUACUUAACAUGAAAUAUAAAUUAUAUUAACACUAUAAUUUGCUUUACUCGGUUUUAACUUAAAUCAUCUGCAAAUUUAAAAACUAUCCAAUCUCACCUGUGAGUAUGUGUCUCGAAUGCUGUAGUCUACCAGAACCAUGAUGAGAAUGGCUAUAGGAACUCCGAAAUCUCCAAUAAUUCUUCUUAGCUGUAAAAUAAAUCAAUAAAUAAAACAGAGGAUUAAAUACAACUACAUUUUUCUUUAUGUUGUCCUAAUCACUCAACAUUGGGUGUCUUGACCAGAAAGCGUCUCACCCUGCCAGGAAAGAAGGCACUGUUUUUGAACUUGCGCAGGUAGAAGGCGAUGAAGAAGGUCCCAGACAUGAGCACCAAGGAAAGCAGAGCAGUAUUAGGUUCACCAACCACCUUCACCGUCUCCGGUGUACUGCUGUUUGAUGUUAAUAGACUUAAGGUAACAUCUUCCCAGCUCGAGUUGUGUGUGGAGUUGUUUAUAUCAGAAACCGCAGCAGAGCAGCGUCUCAGAGGAUGUUCCUGGAAUAUCUGUGGGAAACAUCAGCAGUCAAGAAGACACAAGACACAAAACCAGUCAGAAGAGUCAAUUUCUCAAAAUUGAGAUUUAUACAUCAUCUGAAAGCUGAAUAAAUAUGAUUUCCCUCUGAUGUAUGGUUUAAUAGGAUAGUACAAUAUUCGGCCGAGAUACAACUAUUUAAAAACCUGGAAUCUGAGAGAGCUAAAAUAUCUAAAUACUGAAAAAAAUCACUUUUAAAGUUGUCCAAAUGAAGUUCUUAGUAAUGCAUAGUAGUAGUAAUCAAAAAUUAGGUUUUUAAAUAGUUAACGUUAGGAAAUUUGCAAAAUAUCUUCAUGGAACAUGACCUUUAUUUAAUAUCCUAAUGAUUUUUGGCAUUAAAGGAAAAUCAAUAAUUCUGACCCAUACAGUGUUUCUUUUUUUGGUUGUUGCUAAAAAUAUAUCCCAGCAACCAAAGACUGGUUUUGUGGUCCAGGGACACCUAUAUGAUGACAAACACAAUCAAAAGAUGAUCCAAACUACCUUGAUCAGCUUUGAGAAGGUCUCAUAGAUGAAAAUGAGAGAGAUGAGGAUGGAGAAGAUCUCCUGGGUGAAACGCGAGACAAAUCGGACCAGGAAGCUGCCCUCAAAGGCCACCAUCAUCACCACGAUGAUGAUGAGCCAAAAACCGAUCCAAACCCGACCUGUCAGGUACUCCAUAUUAUUUUCCUUACAGAACUGGAGAAGAUAAAGACAGAGGAGAUAUUUUAUAUAUACUGUAAUGUCACAUUGUAUCAUAUUAAAGCAUUUUUAUAAAAUCCAGAACUAAGAAAAACAAAAACAUUCUGUUUAUAUAAUUCUAUAAAAGAUUCUUUAAAUGUACUUGUGACACAAAAGUUUUUCUGGGUCCAACUUACGAAACAAGUCCUUCAAAUUUUGCCCUGAUAAAAAAAUCGUCAUCUCUUGACAUAAAAAAUUGGGCAGCCCCAAAACAUAUGACUUGGCAUCUGACAUUUUGGUGCUUCUUCACCCUUAGAUAGAUGCCACUGUGUAAUUUUUUUAUGGCAUAGGAAAACUGAAUAAAAAAACCCUUUCUUUUUUUUUUUGGGUGAUCUUGACUUUUGACAGCAUAUUUAUGGAAUGUAUGAUGUUUAUGGUAAGGAAUCUGGUUUAAGGAUGAGUACUUUAAACUCACAGAGAAGAAGGCUUCUUCAAACACCAGGAUUGGUCCAGAGAAGCCCACCACCAGAAGCGGCUGAGCCCCGAGCAGACAGAACAACACACCCUGAACACAAGUGGCCACAAUCAGCUCCGACACGCCAAUGAGCCCUUCGGUCUUCUCACCUGCACACACAACACUCAAUUAUUGAACAGAGAGGUCAGACACAUUCGCUAUCUGGAAUUCAAGCAAAAAUAAUCCAUAAUACUUAUCAGGAUCAGAGUCAUUGAUUGUGUGUAUCAUGAUAAUCUUUUGUUAUAUAACAGACGUUUAAAGUCAUUUAAGUCAGUUCUGGAAGCAGUUUACUAAUUAAAUUGAGAAGAUCUGAAGAGAUAUCCACUGCCUAGCCAAAAAAAAAAAAGUUUCAUUAGACAAUCUUUAGCUUUGAUUACAGUGAACACUUGCUGGGGUAUAUUUGUAGCAAAAGACAGAAAUACAUUGCAUGGGUCAAAAUAUAGAUUUUUCUUUCAUGCUAAAAAUUAUUAGGAUAUUAAGUAAAGAUCACGUUCCACAUGAAGAUAUUUUGUAAAUUCCCUACCAUAAAUAUAUCAAAACUUUAUUUUUGACUAGGAAUCCAAAUCGCUAAGAACUUCAUUUGGACAACUUUAAAGGUGAUUUUCUCAGUAUUUAGAUUUUUUUUGCACCCUCAGAUUCCAGAUUUCAAAUAGUUGCAUCUCGGCAAAAUAUUGUCCAAUUCUAACAAACCAUACGUCAAUGGAACGCUUAAUUCUUCAGCUUUCAAAUAAAUUAAUUAAUAUCUUAUAAAAAUUUAUUAUAAAUCUCAAUUUCGAAAACUUGACCUUUUUGACUGGUUUUGAAGUCCAGGUCACAUAUAUUUUCCUUUACAAUAAUUUCAAUUUAACAACGCUGUGAUUGAUCACAUGUAUUUAAAAUUAUUUUAUUGCAUUUAAAAUUUGGUACUGUCGAUAAAAGUACAGACGAAGCUGUAGUGUAACUGACCUAGAAGGCCUCCAAAUGUGAUGGUGGGAGAAAGAGCAGCGAAAUAAAUAAAGAUGACAGCUGCCAUGCACUGGGGGUUCAGUGCAUCCUUGAAGUCACUGAUGUACUUUGGGUAACGGCGCUGGGCGUCACGAAUCAGCCCACCAAACAGACGGCCUGUGCGUUGUAAAGGGUCGUCUUCUUGUUUCAAGGGUGUAAGCAAGGCCUCUGAUUUACACAAAGAGAAAUAAUAUGGGGUAUUAUGAAUAUAACAGGUUGCUGGGGUAAUAAACAUGGAAGUUGGAAAGAAACAUGGAAGGAAAAAGCUAGCGAAAAUUACUAAGGAAAAGCAAAAUAAAGAAAAUAAUAAACCCACACAAAAACAAAUGUCUACAUAAAAUGACAAAAACUACACCAAAGCACAAAAAAAACCUUAAAAAGGUAAAAAAUAAACACUAAUAAAUAAAAAGACGGAAAAAAACAAGGAAGAUAAAAACAAAAAUGUUCAAAACAAAAUAUAAAAUGAAAGAAAAAACUGAAAACAACAAACAAAAAGACAAAAAAAAAACAAUAAUAACAAAAUACAAACAAAAAUAGCACAAAAAGCAAUAAAGAAAACAAAAAACUCCACACACAUAAACACAAAAUAACAAAAACCACAAAGCAAUAAAACAAAAGCAAAAUAAAAGCAGAACUGGAUCUAAAGCUACAUAGGUUAAUGCAUACCUUUCUCUUCAAGGCUCUUGGGUUCUUUGGACAAUAAGGCCACCUCUUGCUCCUCUCUCUUGCGAAGCAUCUCUCUUUGGAAGUGAGCCACGGACCGCAGAAGAUCUUCACCUCCUAGUUCUGAUGGAGGGAGAACAAUACUGCAGUCCAGGAAGCCAUUGAUGGCAUUGAGCAGGUCCUGCCGAUCAUCUGCCAGUGAUGACCGUCUUUCUCACCUUGUCGGACAUGAGUGUGGAAAUGGAGCGUCCGAUCUGGUGGUAGUCCAUGCUGGUGCUGGGAGGACCAAGCAGCACAAAGAGAAACCGAACAGGAACCGAUACCUCCAACACCGAGUCCAGUUCAAC